UCCGAUGUGGCUUAAUUGGUAGAGCAGGGCACUUGCAAUGCCAGGGUUGUGGGUUCGAUUUCCACUGGAGGAC
rnacentral:tRNA from 1 species